AUGUCCAUAGUUGUUUUCUCCAAGCUUAUGCUUCUUCUCCUCCUACUUUUGAACCCUCCUUCCAAUUAUGGACCCUUUUGUGUGGAUGCUUCAAGACCCUUGGAACAAAAUGCUAAUCCAAAAUACAUAAACUUGAAGCCUGAGAAAGGAAAUGGAGGAGGAAGGGUUUUCCAAGGUAGAAACGUGGAGGAUUGUUUGCCGAAAGGGUUUCGACGAUCUUCUGCUCCAAGUAGAUAUAUUAAUUAUCAGCCUCUUGGAAGUUCAUGUUCUUCAAGCAAGACAGUAGUGAAUGGUCCUUAA